CGAGCACAAGUUUCAUUGCCUCAUUGUUGACGGUUAUUUUUUGCCGAAUUUUCUCUUUAAAAGUAUCAUUAUUUUAUAUAUUUUAUCAAGUUUUUUUAAAAGUGAAUUAUUUCUGGUGAUAAAUAAAGUUUUAUUCUACAUAUUUCUUGCCAUCUUACUUAAAUUAUUUACAUUUUGAAUUAUGAAAAUGGAUUUAGUAUUGAUGAAAAAAAAAUGAGAGCGCAUGUGCAGAAUAAGAAGACAACAAGGGGUGCAAAUUUACAUGUGUACGCCCCUGAGUGUAGUUGACGUCAUCGGCGCAUGCGCACCGGCAUAAAACGGCACUGCAGAAGCAGGCGACUUCGCGAGUGUAUCGAUUUUACGAUCGUGUCUCGGUUUCCUUUAGUUUUUAGUGACCGUGUUCGUGGUACAUGGAUAAAAACUGUGAAUGGGAUUAAUCAUUAAGUGCUUCGCUUCGUACACCUGCUGAUUCGCAACUCCUCCAGCUCAUCAUGACCAAGGAUAGAUUAGCAGCCCUCGUCGCGGCUCAAUCCGACGAGGACGAUGUGGCCGACGAUGUUUCGGUACCUGUGGGUGGGCCUGAAGAUUUCAUGACGGAAUUUUUUGCAGAGGUGGAGGAGAUACGUGAAAUGAUCGAUAAGAUCCAGACAAAUGUAGAGGAAGUGAAGAAAAAGCAUAGCGCCAUUUUAUCAGCACCCCAGACAGAUGAAAAGGUCAAAAUGGAACUGGAAGAUCUGAUGGCUGAUAUUAAGAAAACAGCGAAUAAAGUUAGGGCAAAGUUAAAAGUAAUAGAGCAAAACAUCGAGCAAGAGGAGCACACGAACAAAUCGUCGGCAGAUCUUAGGAUACGCAAGACACAACACUCGACGUUGUCUAGGAAAUUUGUUGAGGUGAUGACAGAGUACAAUCGGACGCAGACUGAUUAUAGGGAGCGGUGUAAGGGAAGAAUACAACGACAACUCGAAAUUACGGGUAGAACGACCACUAAUGAAGAACUCGAGGAAAUGCUGGAACAAGGAAAUCCAGCUGUGUUCACGCAAGGGAUUAUUAUGGAAACGCAACAAGCGAAACAAACUCUUGCAGAUAUUGAGGCGCGUCACGCUGACAUUGUUAAAUUAGAAAAUUCCAUCAGGGAACUUCACGACAUGUUCAUGGACAUGGCAAUGCUUGUCGAAAGUCAGGGUGAGAUGAUAGAUCGCAUAGAAUACCACGUGGAACACGCAGUGGAUUAUGUUCAAACGGCCACACAGGACACCAAAAAAGCACUCAAGUAUCAAAGCAAAGCCCGACGGAAAAUGAUCAUGAUUAUGAUCUGCGUCGCAGUAUCUCUGGUCAUAUUGAUCUCCAUUGUAGGAGCAUUUCUUCCGUCAUUCUAAAUGGCCGUAGACGUAUAGAGAGACAGAUAAAAGAAUGUGAGAGAGAGAGAGAGAGAGAGCAAUAGAUAGAUAGACAAAUAGAUAGAUAGCUAGACAUGAGGGGAGAACAGAAAAAUAAAAACUAAAAAAAAAAUAUACAUAAAUAUAUAUAUAAAUAUUACAUUUCGAAAAAAAAAACUCAGAAAGUAGCAAAAUCGUUGCAGCGAAAAAAAAAAUGAGAACGCACUUCUGAUUGGUGACAAAAAAAAAAAUUUAUAAUCCUCAAAAAAAAAAAAAAAAAUUCGAAUUUCAAAACAGCCAGAGGAUACGAAUUACGAAAUGGAAAUAAUUAAUCGCUUUUUUCUAGAAAAAUAAAUAAUAAUAACUGGCGAAAAAUGGACGAUAAUCUCGUAAAAUCGAGCAACAAAAAUAAAAAAUAAAACGCGAAUCGUAUCGACGCGUGGAUUGUUUGACUGAAACCGUCACCGAAAAAUUCUUGUAUACAGGACAUAAAAAAAAAAAUUAACAAGACUUUUUUAUAGUUACGCCAACAAUAAUCGCAUAUUUAUUAAUCCAACGAUAACACCAGCUUAGCACCGAAAAAAAAAAUUAAUCCAAAAAAGCAAAUACUAACCACGCAUCGUGAUUUACCGGAUAAAAAAAAAUUCACACUUUGUCCCUCUCAGCUAAAUUGAUCCUGAUCGUUGUCUGCCUUACAGUGGCGGUCAUCAUUUUGAUAAUCAUUUUGGUAACUAGUUUGAGCUGAUCUCAUGGAUGGCCAUCGACUCCUCGAUUUGAGACCAGUGACACAAGUGCACCAUUUUUGUGCACAAAUUUAUUCAUCUCCCAAUUUCAAUUCGUCCUUGAAAUACCAGAUGUUCCAAAAUUAUUAUUAAUCACCAAAAAAGAAAAAAAAAUAAUUCCUGGAUGUUCCUGCGAAUCGAAAUUCAUUCACACACACAUACACACAAAAUACAAAAAAAAAACACAAUCUUUCGUUCUCCCCAAAAAAUCAGCGAUCGUCGUCUUGCUAUAAAAGAAAAAUAUAUAUAUAUAUACUUUACUCAAUUUUUCUGUACAUAAUAAUCUCUCCAUUGAAACAAAUGUCGAAAUUCAAUUUCAAUUGAGAAAAUGUCUCUCUCUCAAAUGCUACUGGAGAAAAAAUAUAUUCUUUACAAUUUAGAAAAUUGAUCGAUUCAAUUAAAAUUCAUUAAUUUUAAAAUUUCGAAAUAUUGAAAAAAUUUAAACUAAAUAAUUUAAUAUUUAAAAAAAAAAAAGAAAAAGCAAUACAAAUCUUUAAAUAGAAAAUAUUCUUAGUUUAGACAAAUAAUAUUUUUUCUCUCGUAGCGAUUUAAAAAAAAAAAAUUAUUAAUUAUGUGCUAAGGAGAGAUUUUUCUCUUAUUUUUUUGAUCAGUUUUUCGAUUCUGUUAAAAGAAAAAAAAAACUGAUUUGCAUUUUGAUAAUGCAUUUUAAUAUCAAAGCUCUAAGUCAAGAUACACUUUUUCAAGUGAACGCAUUUUUAUAUUUAAAAAAAAGAAAUGCGUAACAGUAUUUUUUUUCGCACUAUUUUAAAAUAAUUAUGUUAUAUUGUCGUUAUUAAGUUAUCGAUGAAAAAAAAGGGCAUAUAUAAUUAAACAUCUCUGGAGGCUACUUUAUGUACAUAAUAUAUAUAUAUAUAUAAUUAUUUAUGUUCAGUAGAAAAAUUGUUUGUACUCUUUAAGAUCAUAAAUAUCGAUCUUGCAGGGUCGACAAAAGAGGGGGAAGUAUCGAUAUCGAGUCUAAGUGUUGUAGAAAUUAGAUUUGUUUUUUUUUUCUAAAUAAAUAUAUAUAUAAAUAUAUAUUAUAUAGAAAAAAGUGUUGAAGGUGACUGGAAAGGAAACUUAGACUGGCUCUUUUUCCACAUUCCAUUAAUUUGUCACCCAGAAGCAAUUUUAUAAACUGCUUCAACAAAAUAGGUGCAAUAUCUCUUUUUUAUGUAAUUUUUUUUUUCUCUUAAAUUUAUUGAGAUGGACAAAUAAUGUACGUAAAAGUGAAAAAAAUCGAAUUAUUUCAAUUUAAACACUGUAAUAAUUAUUCAAAUAGAAAAAUAUUUCAAUUUUAAAUUAAAUUUCAAUAAAUUCGAUUUUUUCACUAAAAAAAAAAGAAAUUACGCUAAUUUUUGUGGUUUGUAAUUAACUCUUCGAACAAAAAAUUAAUGAAAAAAAAGAAGAGGUUUCGAGAAAAAAAAAUAUUGUAAAUAUUAUAAAUAAUUAUAAAUAGCGUAACUUUCAUUCAUAAAUACUUCGCAAUACUCUUCGUAUAAUAAUUAUUAUCAGCACCCCAAAAAUUAGUCGAUAGUGACGAAUAAAGAUGUUAAAAAAUGGAAAAAAAAUUAUUUCAAGAGAAAACUUGAACAAGAAUGCUCUAAAUAAGGAAAAUCUCAAUAAUUUCGGUAUAAUUUACAAAAUAACGAAGUUAAUUAAAAAAAAAAAAACAAUUUAAAUAAUGACAGUUCGAAUUCAAUUUGAUUGAGAAUUAAAAACACAAGAAACGAAAAAUAGGGAAAUAGAAAAAAAGCAGAAAAAAUAUUGAAAAAAAGGAUGGAGAGGAAAAAAGUUAAUUAGAAUAUAAGAAUUAAUAAUAAUAAUAAUAAGAAAGUGAAAAUUGACCAAAAAAAAUUUAAAAAAAUGAAGAGGAAAUAAGUUAUCUAAAGGAAAUAAAAAGAAGUGAAUUAAAAACAUUAAAAGAAGUGGAAGGAACAAUUUUUUUAAAAAAAAGCCGAAGAUAACAAGGAAUGGAAGAUAAGUGUAAAAAAAAAAAUAAAUAAAAAGGAGAUUUCUUUUGAGAGGAUCUUAAAAAAUGAGAAAGAUUUAAGAAUACAUGGAAGAGGGUUUAGGCGAGACAAUAAAAAAAUAAAAAUCUACGUUCAGGAAGUAUACUGCUGCGAAAAAUUUAAUGAUUCAGGAAGAUAUUCGAAGCUCUAGGCAAAACAGAAGAUUGCUAAGACGAUUUCAGAGACGACAAAAGUUUUUCAAAAGAAGAUCAUGAUCUUGAUUUGCCUCACCAUUCUUGCCAUUGUUGUGGCAACCACCAUUGGUGGAUAUUUUGGACUGUGAACAUCUAAAAACAGGGAGGUAAGAAGACGUCGAGAUCGAGCUUGCCUUUCAGAGAGAUCAUGUAUCUUCUUCCGACAAAGUGAAGCUGCACACGUUGACGCAUAUCGCCAGAAAACCUGGAGAUCGAAAAUUCACUUUGAUGUAGUCUUAAUCAUCAUCAUCAUCAUCAUCAGGCCAGGAUGGCAUUUUCAUCAUCGUUGUCAUCGCACUUAUUAGAAUCAUCAUCAUCAUCAUUUUUAUUUAUCAUCCAAUAUUUACCACUGGCCUUACAAAUUUACAUAAUUCAGCAGCACUCGGUAUUCUUCAUAUUUUUAUCAUAUCUCUUUUUCUGCGCGUUAUAAAACACAAAACAGUGAAGUAGUUAUUGCACGGAGAAAAAAAAACAUUCUGAUAUUUAAUUGAAAAAAAAGAGGGAAAGACACAAUAUUCAUGUGCAUAUACAUAAAUUACAUUAUACUUAUAAAUUAUAUAAAAAAAAAAAAUAUACCGUAGCCCAUUUAGACACUAGGCUAGUGUUAGUGAAGUUUUGUUUUGAAAAAUAUUUUGUAUCUCAAAACGUGUAGCUUAUUGCUACCUAAAAUUUUUGAUCAAUGGUUAAAAUUCAUUACUAAACGAUACGCGUAGUUUUUAGAUUCAAAUUCUCUUGCUCUCGCGGAUCUUUUAUUUUUAUUUCCAGCAAUUUACAAAUUUUUUACAAAUUUACAAAAUAAUUUAAUUUCUACUGAAAGUAUUAUUAUUUUUAUAUUGUAUUUUGCAUCUGUGAUUUUUUUUUUAUUUUUAUUGCACGAUAUUUGUACUUAAUUUUAUUUUAAAUUAUAAUUUUAAGUAGCGAAUGAAUUUAUUUUUAUUUUACUAAUAAGUAAUUUAUAUUUAAAUUUACAAAACUUGAUUACGUUCGAUUCUGUGAAAGAAAAAAUUUUAUGAAAAGAUUAUAGAAAACUAAAUUAUAAUAAUUUUGAAUUUAAAAAAAAACAAAAAUGCGGAGAGAAGAUUCUAAAAAAAAAAUUAAAAAAACAUUUUCAUAAACAUGACAAUUUUUAUUGAAAAUAGAGGGAAUAUUUACAAAAAAAAAUUAGAAUAAAAGAACGAAAGAAACACUUUUGUAUUUAAAUUCAAUAAUUUAUUUUAAAUAUUUUAUUAAUAUAUAUUUAAUUUAUUAAAAUAUUUUAUUUAUUAAAAAAAAAAAUUGCUGGAAUUAAAUUUAAAAGGCAACUCUCGCUAAUUCGGAUCGCGGAAAAAAAAGCGCCCAAUAUUUCAAAAAGACAAUGAAAUUCGAAAAAAAAAAAUGUUGGCAAAUUUUGCAUAAUUAUCAGUCUCCUCUGAAUAUCUCUGAAAUUUUAGAAAAUUUUCAAACUCGCUCUCUAGGUAGUUAGUGCAGAUUUUCUAAGGAGGCUUUAUUAAAAAAGAAAAAAAAAAAAAAGAAUGCAAAAUAAAAAGAAUUUCGGCCAAAAUCAAGAUACGAAAAUCUAUAUUAUGCAGAGUUUGAAAAAUAAAAAAAUAUAUCGCCAUUUUGCUGCAGCAAUAAAUAUUACAUUAUAAAUAUAGGUGUUACGAAAAAAAAUUAAUUUAAAGCAAUAAAUAAAAACAACGGCAAAAAAAUAUUAAAAAAAAAAAAAAAAAAAAACACCCUCGAAUGAGAAACAAAUUUCCCAUAUGCGCUUGUUUGUGUAAAAUUUGAAAAUUGAAUCUCAUUCAAGGCACUCGCGUUGAAAAUAAAUUGUAAAUGUACUUCACGAUGUAUAGUUAGAAUGGCAUGAAAAACACGGAGAUUUUGAUCGAUGAUCAUCCUGAUAAUAUGCAUUAUACAUAAUAUAAAUAUUAUACAUAAUUAAUUAAAUAGUCGAAAUAUUCAAGAGAAAGAAAAAAAAAGGAAAAAAAAAAGAUGACGCGUAAUGUUAAUGUUUUGUUGACUAUAUUAUAUAUAAAUAAACGUUGAGAUAAAUAAUACGGUGUCAUGAAAGACUAUGGGUUAUAAUAAUAAAUACACUGUUCAAAUUAAUAAUUUUAAUUAUUAUUAUUAUGAUUAUUAUUAUUAAAUUAUAAAUCAAGGCGGCGACGUGCAUCAUAAAUGCGUCAUUGGUAAAAUUUCAUCACUUAUCAAUCACUCGAUAUGAGAAAUGUAUAUUUAAAAGAUCACCCUUGCAUUGUACAGAAAAAAAAGUGUAUAUGUCAUUGUUAGCCUAUAUAGAUAGUUACGUUGCUAUUUAUUAUAUUUAUUAAAUUCUUGAAUGACUUUAUAACACUGAAUAUGGCGAGUUUACAGAAACGCAAGAAUUCCGAAUUCUUUUAUUUAUUUAAAUUUUUCUAUUUUAAAUUGGAAUAAUUUUAUUUUCUAUUUUUAAAUUUAAUAGAAUUAUUAUUAAUUGUUUUUGAAAUUGGUUGUCUCUGCAGUCGACAUUAAUUAGUUUUUAGUCAAGGGACAAAAUUUGAAUGAAAAUUGAAUAUUUUAUAUGUUGAAGCUUUGUAGGUCGAACAAUUAUUAACUAAUUCACAGUGACAGUCCUAUAAAAUAUAUUGCCCAUUUAAAAUCAAAUGAAAAAUCUCAAAUUUUUUGAAAAUUUUGUUUCAAAAUUCACAAAUUUUUUUUUCUUUUUUAAUCUAAAUUUUAACAAAGUAUUAUGUUUAUGAUUAACAAACUUCUUGAAUCGUUUGGAAAACAAAAAACAAACAAAAAAAUAUCUUACGUGCCUCAUACGUAGAAACAAUCAUAUAUACUUGUACGAAAUAUUGUGCCUAACUUUUAAAUAGUAAAAAGACUGUCAUUUAAAAAAAAAAAUCCACACAUCCUUAUCAUAAAGACUGUAACGCAAAAAAAAAAUCCACUAACACGUUUUAUUAAUAAAAGAAGAUAGUUUACAGAAUUGAAUAUAAAAUUUUCUUGCUAUGGACUCGGAUUUCUUGCGUUUCAAUUUCUUCUUAAAAUUUUAGUCAAAUUCUAUUAAAAUGAGAAUUAUUGAAAAAAAAUAUAUAUUGCGAAUUUUUAGUGUCUGAUAUUCGUUUUUUUGUAUUAAAAAUUUAAAAAAAAUUGUUAGGGCAUUAAAAAUGCUUUUAAAAAAUAUUUCCGUAAAAAAAAGACAGCAAGAAAAAAAACCAUGAAGACCAAACUCAUUAAAUAUUUUAUAAAAAAAAAAAAAAAAUCGUGUAAAGGGGAAGGACAAAUUUACAUAUUUUUUUUUUCGUAAUUACAAAAAGUUCCGGAUUUAUAUUUCCUUUUUAAAAUCUACUUAUUUAAGAAGAAUGAAUUUUAGAAUUAUCUCUGAAAUUGAAAUUAGUCAGUAAUUUAUUUCGUAAAUGAAUUUCGAUUUAUUAAUAAAACGAUUAGAAAAUAUGAAAUCAAUUUUAAAUGUUUAUGAAUUUUUUAAGAAAAGAAAAAAAUGAAUCGAGAUUUGAAAUUCGAUUGAAUAUGAAAGUUGAAGUGACAUCACACAAUUUUUAAAUCAAAGGGCACUUAAAGUUGAACUUCUCCUUCUCUUGUUAUACCAAAUAUCUAAGUCGUAAUCGAGCAUUUAAUUCCAGACACAUUUUGUCACGUGUCGUUACAGAUCUCUUCGAUUAUACAUGUGUAUUAUCUGUAAUUAAUGAUUAAUAUUUAUCUCUCGUGACAAUUUCGGGCUAAGAAAAUGAAAUUCCAAUAAUCUUAAAGCUGAAUUCUAUAGUACGAAGAAUUUUUGAAUGCGAUUCGAAUUAAAAUUACUUCUCAAUUACUACAACUAUGUAUUACUAUUUUUUUUUUUUUUAGUAUAGUUCCAAUAUCGAGAGCAUCAUUUGGAAAAUUAGUUUUCUUGAAUUAAAAUUUUUAAUAUUUAGUUUAGUUUUUUAAAUGAUAAAUCAUGUAUUGGAAAUUUAAUUGUAAUUCUAAUGAUAAUUGUACUAGAGAAUAAUAAUAAUAAUAAUUAAAAAAUCCAGUGGUGAACUCGAUAAAAAAAAAAGAUCAUAUUAAUUCUAGUCAAAAUUUCAAAUUGGUUUCUGCAAUUUAGCGAGGCAUAUAUAGAAUUUAGCUUUUAUCUCACAUCUUAGAAUUUAGAAUAUUUAUAUAGAAAGUCCUCGUGAUAGGAAUUGAGAGAUAAAGUUAAUUUCUUAUCGAUAAAUGAAUAAGUUUACGAAUAAUGUUACAAUUGUAUUGGUGCACAAUCGACUGUGUGUUAACGAGUUUGGCCUAAGAUGCAAUUUGCUGAAGUUGAUUCUGCUGCUUUAAUUGACUUUAAAAAAAAAAAAAAAUUCUCACACCACUGAAAUGUGCAUAAAAUAAUUACUUUUAUCAACUUCUUUUUUUCCAUUAUUUUUCAAUAUUAUUUUCAAUAAUCAUUUCUAAUUAGAAAAAAAUUAUGUAAUUUUUUUUUCGCCUUUGUAAAUAAUUUUUUAUUAGUGAACAUUUCACUGGUGUUUUGAGACAUUGAAAAAAAUUGAAUUUCGUAAAUUGUGAAAAUUGAAAGUUUUUCCUUUUGAAAAUCAAAUUUUUUAUAAUAAUUUUUUUAAAAAAUUAUAAGCAGCGAGUAUCAACCUUGGCGUUCUUUGCCUCACAGUACGCGUAAUAAUUAAUACUGUUAUAUUACAUUCUAUUACAAUUAUAAAAUCGGCGAAAAAAAUUCAAUGUCACAAAAAAAAGGAGAAUCCGGUAUGACAUUGUAAUUAUUCGAGUUUAUAUUAUUAAAAAAAAAAAGAAGAAAAAAAAGAAGAGUGUGAUAAACUGUAAACAAUGAUGUGCUACAUUGAGGCAUCAGAAAAUGUGUUUCGGAGCCGUGUCACAUCGGUGCAAUUAUUAACUACGAAAGGCUACUUCAAUAACCUUAUAUGAGUGUCAAUUCCAAACUAUCAACUUAAUUCAUAAUUUUCAAAAAUUGUAAAAAAAAAAAAAAAAACAAGAGGACAAUUUAAAUGAUAGCAUAAAAGUUCGCAUGAUAUACCUCGGUUUUCAUGUGACAAAGUGAGAUUAUUAAUAAAUUAAAAUUUAAAAAAAAGAAAAAAAAAGUUUACCAACUACACCUGUAGUAAAUGGAAGAAUGAGAAAAAAAAUAUAAAUACUUUUUAUUGUAGGUAUUUCAUAGAAGUUCAUAUUAAAAUAAAGAUACUGUAUCGAUGAUUAAUAUUACAAAAUAAAUCAACAAUGUUUUCUGCUUA